GGAAGGGUGACCGAGUGGUUUAAGGUGUAGCAUUGGAAAUGCUACGUAGACUACCGUUUACCGAGGGUUCGAAUCCCUCCCUUUCCU
rnacentral:tRNA from 1 species